rnacentral:lncRNA from 1 species
UGUUCAUUUUGCUUUGUAAACGUUUUGCUAUUUUCUUUCUUUGGGAAUUUAACUUUUAGCAUUUUGGGUACGCAAUAUUACUAAGAUAUUAUGCCACCCCCAAGACCGAGGGGAGUGGGAUAUAAUACAGGAGUCACAACAUCUAGGCCCAGCCCGAAUACACCGAUGUCUGAGAGACAGCAAAUGGCACUGCUUAUUCAGAUGACGGCGAACUCGACGACAGAGGCCUCAAGAGCGCAC